GGCCGCGGGAUUAGGGUUUGAUCCUGGCUCAGGAUGAACGCUAGCGGCAGGCCUAAUACAUGCAAGUCGGAUGGGAUUGGAACCAGAGCUUGCUCUGGUUCCAUGAGAGUGGCGCACGGGUGCGUAACGCGUGAGCAACCUACCUCUAUCAGGGGGAUAGCCUCUCGAAAGAGAGAUUAACACCGCAUAAUAUAAUGUACCGGCAUCGGGAUAUUAUUAAAUAUUUAUAGGAUAGAGAUGGGCUCGCGUGACAUUAGCUAGUUGGUAGGGUAACGGCUUACCAAGGCGACGAUGUCUAGGGGCUCUGAGAGGAGAAUCCCCCACACUGGUACUGAGACACGGACCAGACUCCUACGGGAGGCAGCAGUAAGGAAUAUUGGUCAAUGGGCGGAAGCCUGAACCAGCCAUGCCGCGUGCAGGAUGACUGCCCUAUGGGUUGUAAACUGCUUUUGUCCAGGAAUAAACCUAAAUACGUGUAUUUAGCUGAAUGUACUGGAAGAAUAAGGAUCGGCUAACUCCGUGCCAGCAGCCGCGGUAAUACGGAGGAUCCGAGCGUUAUCCGGAUUUAUUGGGUUUAAAGGGUGCGUAGGCGGCCUAUUAAGUCAGGGGUGAAAUACGGUGGCUCAACCAUCGCAGUGCCUUUGAUACUGAUGGGCUUGAAUCCAUUUGAAGUGGGCGGAAUAAGACAAGUAGCGGUGAAAUGCAUAGAUAUGUCUUAGAACUCCGAUUGCGAAGGCAGCUCACUAAGCUGGUAUGAC
rnacentral:rRNA from 1 species